rnacentral:rRNA from 1 species
UAGUCAUAUGCUUGUCUCAAAGAUUAAGCCAUGCAUGUCUAAGUAUACGCAAAUUAUACUGUGAAACUGCGAAUGGCUCAUUAAAUCAGUUAUAGUUUAUUUGAUGUUUCUUGCUACAUGGAUAACUGUGGUAAUUCUAGAGCUAAUACAUGCGUAAAAAGCCCCGACUUCUGGAAGGGGUGUAUUUAUUAGAUAAAAACCAUCCUCCUCGGAGUUUGGUGAUUCAUAAUAACUUCUCGAAUCGCACGGCCUUGUGCUGGCGAUGCUUCAUUCAAAUAUCUGCCCUAUCAACUGUCGAUGGUAGGAUAGAGGCCUACCAUGGUUGCAACGGGUAACGGGGAAUAAGGGUUCGAUUCCGGAGAGGGAGCCUGAGAAACGGCUACCACAUCCAAGGAAGGCAGCAGGCGCGCAAAUUACCCAAACCCGACACGGGGAGGUAGUGACAAAAAAUAAAAAUGCAGGGCCCCUUUUGGUCUUGUAAUUGGAAUGGGUACAAUUUAAAAUCCCUUAACGAAGAACGAUUG